rnacentral:rRNA from 1 species
AGAGUUUGAUCCUGGCUCAGGAUGAACGCUGGCGGCGUGUCUAAGGCAUGCAAGUCGAACGGGUCCGAUUGCGAUUACAUCAAGAUCGGGCUAGUGGCAAACGGGAGCGUAACACAUUGGUAACCUGCCUCGAAGACGUGAAUAACCCCGCGAAAGCGGGACUAAUACACGAUACGGAUGCGAGGGCGCAAGCCAUUCGCAUUGAAAGCCCAAAAGGCGCUUCGAGAGGGACCUAUGGUCUAUCAGCUAGUUGGUGAGGUAACGGCCCACCAAGGCUAUGACGGAUAGCAGGCGUGAGAGCGCGACCUGCCUCAGUGGGACUGAGACACUGCCCACACUCCUACGGGAGGCUGCAGUCAAGAAUAUUCCUCAAUGGACGAAAGUCUGAAGGAGCGACGCCGCGUGCAGGAUGAAGCCCUUCGGGGUGUAAACUGCUUUUCCCAGGGACGAAUUUCGAUGACGGUACCU